UACGGAGGGUGCGAGCGUUGUCCGGAAUCACUGGGCGUAAAGGGCGCGUAGGUGGCUCGUGAAGCGUGCGGUGAAAGUCCGAGGCUCAACCUCGGAUCGGCCGUGCGGACUCGCGGGCUCGAGCGUUGUAGAGGCGGGUGGAAUUCCGGGUGUAGCGGUGGAAUGCGUAGAGAUCCGGAAGAACACCGGGUGGCGAAGGCGGUGAGCUGGGCAGUAGCUGACACUGAGGCGCGACAGCGUGGGGGAGCAAACAGG
rnacentral:rRNA from 1 species